rnacentral:rRNA from 1 species
UACGUAGGGUGCGAGCGUUGUCCGGAAUUAUUGGGCGUAAAGGGCUCGUAGGCGGUUUGUCGCGUCGGGUGUGAAAACACCGGGCUUAACCCGGUGCUUGCUUUCGAUACGGGCAGACUAGAGGCAUGCAGGGGAGAACGGAAUUCCUGGUGUAGCGGUGAAAUGCGCAGAUAUCAGGAGGAACACCGGUGGCGAAGGCGGUUCUCUGGGCAUGUCCUGACGCUGAGGAGCGAAAGUGUGGGGAGCGAACAGG